rnacentral:rRNA from 1 species
GACGAACGCUGGCGGCGUGCUUAACACAUGCAAGUCGAACGGAAAGGCCCUGCUUUUGUGGGGUGCUCGAGUGGCGAACGGGUGAGUAACACGUGAGUAACCUGCCCUUGACUUUGGGAUAACUUCAGGAAACUGGGGCUAAUACCGGAUAGGAGCUCCUGCUGCAUGGUGGGGGGUGGAAAGUUUCGGCGGUUGGGGAUGGACCCGCGGCUUAUCAGCUUGUUGGUGGGGUAGUGGCUGACCAAGGCUUUGACGGGUAGCCGGCCUGAGAGGGUGCCCGGCCACGUUGCGUCUUGGUUACGGCCCAGAGUCCUACGGGCGGCAGGAGUGGGGAAUCUUGCACCAUGGGCGGAAGCCUGAUGCAGCAACGCCGCGUGCGGGAUGACGGCCUUCGGGUUGUAAUCCGCUUUCGCCUGUGACGAAGCGUGAGUGACGGUAAUGGGUAAAGAAGCACCGGCUAACUACGUG